rnacentral:lncRNA from 1 species
GCCCUCUAUUCGUCUUUACUCAGGUCGAAACAUCAGAGGCUUGAACAAAGGAGAUAUCCACUGGAGAUUCUCCGUCGUUUGCCUCUAUAGUAGUCUCAGCUCCUCCUCUGUUCGCAUCUCUGUUCGUCUCGGUUCGUGGUGGAAUUUCGGAAUCUUGAACGAAGGAACAACCGCUCGAAAACCUCCUCUGUACUGUUCUCGGCUUGGGAUGGAUCAUUAGAGUUAGCAACGAAAGAGGCAUCGACAUUAAGCUUCAGGACACCAAAUUUCGGUUUUUGCCACUUGUGAGUAUGAUAUGCUAUUUUGCCUCCUCUGGUUUUGUUGCCAUUCCGAGUUUGAAAGCUGUCAUUAUGGGCUAUUGCUCUGUCUAAAGUUUGCUGCGAAUUUAGGGGCAUUUUCUUGAAGAUUGCAUUGUUUCAAUCCUUCCAUACACACCAUAGGGUCAUCGCAAUGAGGUCAAACUGAGGCGAGGUUCGUGGAUCCUCCCUUAAUUUAGUUAACCACUCAUCAAACUGAGUAAGACCCAUUCUUUUGAUACAAAUUUGCAAGGAAUGCUGGCGCCACAGUUGUGAUGUCCAAGGACAAGGUAGCGGGGUAUGUUCAACUGUCUCGGGUUCUUAUUUGCAUAAUGGGCAUACAGGUGCAGGUAUGAUCUUCCUUCUAUAUAGGUUCUCCAAGGUAGGUAGGGCGUUAUAACAGGCGUUCCAUAGGAAGAUUUUAACUUUGGGCGUUGUUCAUGCUUUCCAAAUGUAUUUCCACAAAGCUGAUUGCCUAAUAGGAAGAUGAUGCUUUUGUAGUGAGAGUGCUAGUUGUAAGGCUCCUAUUGCUAAAAUAUCCACUUUUAACCGUGUAUUUCCCUGAUUUGUUGUCAGCCCAAACUAAUUUAUCCUCUAUAGUCAAUAAACCUAUAGGAAUGGUAAAGAUUUUCGUUACCAUUUGUUCAUCAAACAGAGUAUUAAUCAAGGGUUCAUUCCAUUUUCCUUCCUCAAUGUCCAUCAAAUUAGCCACUUUGAGUGGCUCAUUCCUUGUUGCCGGACCACCAAGCAGACCUUUCUUUAGCCAUUUGUCAUUUCUAAUGGAGAUUCUCUUUCCAUUACCAACUGCCCACAUGAUUCUAGGAGAUAGAAUAUCCCUAUGAGACUUUGUCAACCCCACGAAGAACGGUACCCUCUUCCAGCAUUCCAAAAAUCCCCUUGUGGGAAAUAUAAUCCCUUCAUAACUUGACCCCAAAACGUUUCUGGUUGCUAAGCUAAUCACCAUGCUUCUUUCCCCAACAUAGCUUUAUUGAAUGCCCCUAAAUCUUUGAAGCCGAGGCCUCCUUCAUCCUUUCUAAGCUUUAAACUGUCCCAUUUUUUCCAGUGUAAACUAGUUGUUUUGUUACUAGUUCUCCACUAAAAAUUGGCAAUUUUCCUCUUGAUAGCUUUACAAAUCGAAAGUAUAAUUUUAAAUAUGGACAUGGCGUAUUGAGGAAGUACCUGCACCACAGCCUUUAUCAAUAUUUCAUUCCCAGCUUUGGACAAUAAGUUUUCUUUCCAGCUCUCCAAUUUCAUAUUGACUCUAGCAAGGAUCCAAGCGAACAUCUCUUUCUUCGAUCCCCCCAAUCUGAUGGAAUGCCUAGAUAUUUACCUGUUUUGUCAAUUACCGGAACUCGUAACUCAGAAGCUAUAUUCCUCUUCAAACUUUUUAGGCAGCCUUUACUAAAAUAUAUCUCGGAUUUGUUUAGGUUAAUAGCUUGACCAAAAGCAAAGGAGUAGUGAUGUAGAAUAGUCGCUAGAUUCUGACAUUCCAUUAUAGUUUCGUCUAGGAAAAAAAUAGUCAUCCGCAAAUAGAAGAUGCGACAAAGUAGGGUAGUUAUGACUCAAUUUGAUUCCUCGAAUAGUACCUGCUGAAAUUGCUUGCUUUAUUAAGAAAGAGAGUAAGUUGGCCACUAGAAUGAAAAUAUAGGGAGAUAACGAGUCACCUUGACAAAUUCCUUGAGUGGGUUUGAAAAAAGGCAUAGGCUCCCCAUUAAGUUUAAUGCUGAAAGAUACCAUAGAAACACAUUGCAUUACUCAGUUCACCCACCUUCCACAAAAACCCAUCUUAAUUAGGCACCCU